ACACUUAUUUAGCCCUUUAGAGCAUGACAGUAGUGACAAACUAAAAUAGUUUUUCAUUCCUGCUAGAAGAAAUACUAUAAAUGAAUACUGGCAUAUACUUGCAAAGAAAUAUAAAAAGAUCUAAAUUUAAAAUUAUCUUCAGGGGCGCCUGGGGGGUUCAUUGGUGUAUUUUGUUACUCAAGAGGGGAUCAAGCAAUAGUUUCAAAUGAUGUAGUGUUCAUAAUAGAUAAAGAAAAUGACUAAAAAGAGUAUUGUAACAGCAGUAUUAAAAAAUACCCUAAAGAAAACUAAUGCUGCCAACUCAACCAUCAUCUGUAUAACUGUCUAAUUUUUUUCCUAUUUCCACGUACAUCUAUUUGUAAACAUUUCAAUCAUAAUAUAGUUUGCUUUUCACUUAAUAUAUUUUAAACAUUUUCCUUUGUUACUUUUAUAAGGGUGUUGGGGAAUAGAUUUUGGGGGGUGGGAUGGAAAAUAGACUUAAAAUCUGUAAAUCAAAUACUAAACUUAUUUUGAUGACACGGAGUGAGUGGAUACUUGUAAAAUUGGAGUUGGGAGCCAUUUUGUAAAACAUCCAGGCAAUAAACAAAAGGGCAGGAAAUGACAUUCUUCUUCCAGUUCUACUCCCUGUUUAGUCGGUUUAUAGUUUGGUGGCUUUCUAGAGACUGGUAAUGGAUCUUGUUAUAGCAUGUGAUAAAAUGUCAUGAACAAAUAAGAUCCUGUCUGGUAAUUAAAAAAAAAAACCCCACAAAUGUAUUUUUAUCUAAAAUACUUGCAAAUUCUUGUUUUACUUUUUUAACACAUGAUACGAGCAAAUAAAACUGUUACAUUACCACCGUAACUACUGUAAAGUUGUAAAGUGUCUGUCUCCAAAAAGGUCAAUCAAUAAAUAUUUUUAAAUAAAUCAAUGAAAUCCUCA